UACGUAGGGGGCAAGCGUUGUCCGGAAUCAUUGGGCGUAAAGCGCGCGCAGGCGGUCCGGUAAGUCUGAUGUGAAAGCCCACGGCUCAACCGUGGAGGGUCAUUGGAAACUGGGGGACUUGAGUGCAGAAGAGGAAAGCGGAAUUCCACGUGUAGCGGUGAAAUGCGUAGAGAUGUGGAGGAACACCAGUGGCGAAGGCGGCUUUCUGGUCUGUAACUGACGCUGAGGCGCGAAAGCGUGGGGAGCAAACAGG
rnacentral:rRNA from 1 species